rnacentral:rRNA from 1 species
UACGAAGGGAGCAAGCGUUGUUCGGAUUUACUGGGCGUAAAGGGUGCGUAGGCGGUUUGAUAAGUUGGAUGUGAAAGCCCCGGGCUUAACCCAGGAAUUGCAUUCAAAACUAUCUGACUAGAGUAUGGAAGAGGGUGGUGGAAUUCCCAGUGUAGAGGUGAAAUUCGUAGAUAUUGGGAAGAACAUCCGUGGCGAAGGCGGCCACCUGGUCCAUUACUGACGCUGAGGCACGAAAGCGUGGGGAGCAAACAGG